GGAUACCNUGCCCUGCGGUGGGAAAUAACCCCGGGAAACUGGGGAUAAUGUCCCCAUAGGUUACGGAUGCUGGAAUGCUCUGUAACUCAAAGAUUUAUCGCCACAGGAUGGGUCUGCGGCCGAUUAGGUAGUUGUUGGGGUAACGGCCCAACAAGCCUUUGAUCGGCACGGGUUGUGGGAGCAAGAGCCCGGAGAUGGAUUCUGAGACACGAAUCCAGGCCCUACGGGGCGCAGCAGGCGCGAAAACUUUACAAUGCGGGAAACCGUGAUAAGGGAACUCCGAGUGUCCGUAAAUGCGGACUGUCCGUAUGUCUAAAAAGCAUGCGAAGAAAGGGCCGGGCAAGACCGGUGCCAGCCGCCGCGGUAAUACCGGCGGCUCGAGUGGUGGCCACUAUUAUUGGGCUUAAAGCGUUCGUAGCUGGAUUGUUAAGUCUCUUGGGAAAUCUACCGGCUUAACCGAUAGGCGUCCAAGGGAUACUGGCAAUCUAGGGACCGGGAGAGGUGAGGGGUACUUCAGGGGUAGGAGUGAAAUCCUGUAAUCCUUGGGGGACCACCUGUGGCGAAGGCGCCUCACCAGAACGGCUCCGACAGUGAGGGACGAAAGCUGGGGGAGCAAACCGGAUUAGAUACCCGGGUAGUCCCAGCCGUAAACGAUGCGCGUUAGGUGUAUCGAUGACCACGAGUCAUCGAGGUGCCGAAGGGAAACCGUGAAACGCGCCGCCUGGGAAGUACGGUCGCAAGGCUGAAACUUAA
rnacentral:rRNA from 1 species